rnacentral:rRNA from 1 species
UACGGAGGGUGCAAGCGUUGUCCGGAUUUAUUGGGUUUAAAGGGUGCGUAGGCGGCUAAUUAAGUCAGCGGUGAAAUUCCACAGCUUAACUGUGGAACUGCCAUUGAUACUGGUUGGCUUGAGUACAGAUGAGGUAGGCGGAAUUGACAGUGUAGCGGUGAAAUGCUUAGAUAUUGUCAAGAACACCUAUUGCGAAGGCAGCUUACUAAGCUGUAACUGACGCUGAGGCACGAAAGCGUGGGGAUCAAACAGGA